CUGCCAGUAGUCAUAUGCUUGUCUCAAAGACUAAGCCAUGCAUGUGCAAGUGCAUACCGCUUGACGGUAAAACCGCGAACGGCUCAUUAGAACAGUUAUUGUUCGCAAGAAAUGAUAUCCACUUGGAUAACUGUGGAAAUGCUAGAGCUAAUACACGCCACGAUGCUUUGGACUUUCUUGGUGCCAGAGCGCGUUUAUUGGUACGAUCUGUCGGCGUUUGACUGGCUGCUUUGCGUGGUCGGUUCGCUGUUCAGUUGUUGAAACGGAGUAACUAUGCUGAUCGCACGGUCCUAGUACCGGCGACGAAUCUUUGAAAUGACUUGCUCAUCAACUGUCGAUGGUAGGUUACGUGCCUACCAUGGUGACAACGGUUAACGGAGAAUCAGGGUUCGAUUCCGGAGAAGGAG
rnacentral:rRNA from 1 species